rnacentral:piRNA from 1 species
UGCCCAAGCUGUUUCUGGCAAUACCAAA